CAUACACUCUGUACCACUCUGAAUGUGCCCUAUCUCGUCUGAUCUCAGAAGCUAAGCAGGGUCAGGCCUGGUUAGUAUUUGAAUGGGAGACUCACAAGCCUUAAGGUUGACUGCUUAA
rnacentral:rRNA from 1 species